GUCUGUGAAAUUCCGGGGNUUAACUUCGGGGUGGCAGGCGAUACGGGCAUAACUAGAGUGCUGUAGGGGAGACUGGAAUUCCUGGUGUAGCGGUGGAAUGCGCAGAUAUCAGGAGGAACACCGAUGGCGAAGGCAGGUCUCUGGGCUGUAACUGACGCUGAGGAGCGAAAGCAUGGGGAGCGAACAGGAUUAGAUACCCUGGUAGUCCAUGCUGUAAACGGUGGGCGUUAGGUGUGGGGACCGGUUUGGUUUCUGUGCCGUAGCUAACGCAUUAAGCGCCCCGCCUGGGGAGUACGGCCGCAAGGCUAAAACUCAAAGGAAUUGACGGGGGCCCGCACAAGCGGCGGAGCAUGUGGAUUAAUUCGAUGCAACGCGAAGAACCUUACCUGGGUUUGACAUGCACCAGACGGUUGUAGAGAUACGUACCUCCCUUUGUGGUUGGUGUGCAGGUGGUGCAUGGUUGUCGUCAGCUCGUGUCGUGAGAUGUUGGGUUAAGUCCCGCAACGAGCGCAACCCUUGUCUUAUGCUGCCAGCACUUUGGGUGGGGACUCAUGAGAGACUGCCGGGGUUAACUCGGAGGAAGGUGGGGAUGACGUCAAAUCAUCAUGCCCUUUAUGCCCAGGGCUUCACACAUGCUACAAUGGUUAGUACAACGCGCUGCGAGCCUGUGAGGGUGAGCGAAUCGCUGAAAGCUAAUCUCAGUUCGGAUUGGGGUCUGCAACUCGACCCCAUGAAGUCGGAGUCGCUAGUGAUCGCAGAUCAGCAAUGCUGCGGUGAAUACGUUCCCGGGCCUUGUACACACCGCCCGUCACGUCAUGAAAGUUGGUAACACCCGAAGCCCAUGGCCUAACCACCAUUUUUUGGUGGGGG
rnacentral:rRNA from 1 species